CCUUUGACAGUAGUCCAACUCCUGGCAAGUAUCUGGCACUGAGGCAGACAGAAAAAAAUGGAAAUCCAAAGUGACCAAAACUCUGCUGCCUUGCAGCUAGAGGAGAAGUGGCUGAAAAGGUGCAGCAUCCUCCGGAUGCCACAAAUAGAGCAGAGGGGUUCCACACACAGCGCUGAGGGGUACCUAAAGGUCUCAAAGACCAAUAUAGUUAUCAUGAUUAAAUCAUAUAAAGGUCUUAAAAUGAAAAACUAUUUGAUUAUAGGAAUUAGUGGCUUCACUAACAGUGGAAAAUCCACAAUAGCUACAAUGCUUUCAAAAGAAAUUUGUAAUUUGGAUGUUAUGAAUCAAGACCUUUAUUUUUUAGAACCAGAUGAUCCUGCUAUUGAAAGAGAUAUUCAUGGAAUACGAAAUUUUGAAAAGUUGAGUGCUUUAGAUAUGGAAAGAAUGGUACAAGAUGUCAAACUUUGGAUUAAAUCAAAAACUUGCAAUUCAGAUUCACUAUUUAUUCUUUUGAUAGAAGGAUUUUUAAUAUUUAAUCACAAAGAACUUAGUGAUUUAAUUGACCACAAAUAUUUCAUUAAAAUCACAAAGGAGAUUUGUUUUGAGCGUAGAAUAAAAAGACAAUACAUUCCUCCAGAUCCUGAUGGAUAUUUUGACAGCUAUGUUUGGCCAUGGACUAUAACAAACUUAAUGGCAAUCCAAGAUUGCACUGAUAUAGGUAGAAACAUGAAGAUCUCACAGUUGUCCAAAAGUAGAAAAGUUAACAUCUCCUAGUAAUUAACUGCCAUGAUUGCUAAUACAAAAGUGAAAAACACACUGCAAAUGCUUCAUGGUCACAUGAAAAAAAAAACAACUUAUACAUGGAAAUAACCACAUUCAUUUAUAUGUCUGGGCUUACAUAAAUCCUUUGCAAGUUGUUCCUGUGCCAACUAAAUUGAAUAUUGAGUCAGGUCAUAUGACUAGCAAGUAGUCCCUCCAACAAUGACUUCAAGAAAAAGCAGUUAUCUGGAUAAAAUAAGUGAUUUCUCUUGAAAUAAGUGAUUGAGAAAUCAUUAGAAUUCAUUGAUGGCACUGCAGAUUUACAGGCACUGUACAAAAGUAUUUUAACAAGAAUCAUGAAGAUUGUUUUUAUACAUAGAGAAAAAUACUUUUAAUAAAUAAAUAAUACAAUUAUGGACAAUUGAA